rnacentral:rRNA from 1 species
CAUGUAGGCGGUUAUAUAAGUCCGAUGUGAAAGCACACAGCUUAACUGUGAUGUUGCGUUGGAAACUGUAUGACUUGAAUCCGAGAGGGGUAUGUGGAAUUCCUAGUGUAGGGGUGAAAUCUGUUGAUAUUAGGAAGAACACCGGAGGCGAAGGCGACUUGCUGGCUCUGGAUUGACGCUGAGGUGCGAAAGCGUAGGUAGCGAACAGGAUUAGAUACCCUGGUAGUCC